CACAAGAAAUGGAAAGCCCUGCUAAAUACACAGUCAGCCACCUCCAGCCACAGGGCUUUGUGGGACAGCCCAGUUUCUCCUGAAGAAGAGGCCCAUUGUUCUGUUUGGGGGCAGCCCCUCCCAGGGGUUUAUGAAGUGAAGAACUCUGAGGUCACACUGGUCAAACAGCAGACAAUGGGUAACACCCUUCUCUGCCAGUGAACAAACAAACAGCUGCCUCCUAGGAAAGCACAACUGGCCUAGUAGCCUGAGCAUUCAGGGAAAUAAGUGAGCCAGGGCCUAGGUGCUGAGGCAGGGACACAGGGUGCAGAGGGUGGGCACUGUCACAAGGAGACUAAAAACAGAGAAAGGGAAGCCUCCUGUGCUCAAUUCCCUCCUGCUUAGGGGAGGUCCCAUGAAGCAUAUGCUCUGUAAAGCCAGGGGCCAAAGGGCUGCUGGCAUGGAGCCGACACAUGGGAGCAAGGGGUCAAAGCCCUCAAGUUUGAGAAGCUGAAAGCUGCCCAGCUGAGGCCCUGAAGUGGACUCCACUCAAGGGAGUAAGGACCACAGUCAGUAUGAGGAGCCACAGCAGAAACGAGAAGACCAGCUCUUGGAGAAAGAGCAGGGUCUGUCAGAAGAAGUCCAGCAUGGAAUGGCUCCCCAUGGAUGAGCAGGACACAGGCAUAUCUGAACAAACCCCUGGGCACUUCUCUGUGAUCCUAAGAAAGGUCACUGCCCUCAAUCUCACUACCAGAUGUCUUCCCCUGUCUACCUGUGAAGUCCUUGGAGAUAAACACUAUAUAAAAGCACCAACACCUUC